GACGAACGCUGGCGGCAGGCCUAACACAUGCAAGUCGAGCGAGCGGCGGACGGGUGAGUAAUGUAUGGGGAUCUGCCCGAUAGAGGGGGAUAACUACUGGAAACGGUAGCUAAUACCGCAUACUAUCAGAUGAACCCAGAUGGGAUUAGCUAGUAGGUGGGGUAAUGGCUCACCUAGGCGACGAUCCCUAGCUGGUCUGAGAGGAUGAACAGCCACACUGGGACUGAGACACGGCCCAGACGCCUACGGGAGGCAGCAGGGGGGAAUAUGGCACAAUGGGAGCAAGCCUGAUGCAGCCAUGCCGCGUGUAUGAAGAAGGCCUUAGGGUUGUAAAGUACUUUCAGCGGGGAGGCGUGACCCGCAGAAGAAGCACCGGCUAACUCCGUGCCAGCAGCCGCGGUAAUAC
rnacentral:rRNA from 1 species